AUUCCAUGAUGAGGGCGCUUCUGUAAUAAUUCUUUGUACCUUUCUCAUGCCUAAUACAAUGACUCAUCAGUCAUUUGUUGGAAAGCAGUGAUCUCAUUCCUCAACUU
rfam:Gossypium raimondii Chr02_contig_606, whole genome shotgun sequence.